rnacentral:rRNA from 1 species
ACUCCUACGGGAGGCAGCAGUGGGGAAUAUUGGACAAUGGGCGCAAGCCUGAUCCAGCCAUGCCGCGUGAGUGAUGAAGGCCCGUAGGGUUGUAAAGCUCUUUCAGCGAGGAGGAUAAUGACGUUACUCGCAGAAGAAGCCCCGGCUAACUUCGUGCCAGCAGCCGCGGUAAUACGAAGGGGCUAGCGUUGUUCGGAAUCACUGGGCGUAAAGCGCACGUAGGCGGACUUUUAAGUCAGGGUGAAAUCCCGGGGCUCAACCCCGGAACUGCCUUUGAUACUGGAAGUCUUGAGUCCGAGAGAGGUGAGUGGAACUCCGAGUGUAGAGGUGAAAUUCGUAGAUAUUCGGAAGAACACCAGUGGCGAAGGCGGCUCACUGGCUCGGUACUGACGCUGAGGUGCGAAAGCGUGGGAGCAAACAGGAUUAGAUACCCUGGUAGGACAGCG